rnacentral:rRNA from 1 species
AACGAACGCUGGCGGCAUGCCUAACACAUGCAAGUCGAACGAGACCUUCGGGUAUAGUGGCGCACGGGUGCGUAACGCAUGGGAACCUGCCCUUAGGUUCGGAAUAACUCACCGAAAGGGGUGCUAAUACCGGAUAAUGUCUUCGGACCAAAGAUUUAUCGCCUUUGGAUGGGCCCGCGUUGGAUUAGCUAGUUGGUAGGGUAAAGGCCUACCAAGGCGACGAUCCAUAGCUGGUCUGAGAGGAUGAUCAGCCACACUGGGACUGAGACACGGCCCAGACUCCUACGGGAGGCAGCAGUGGGGAAUAUUGGACAAUGGGCGAAAGCCUGAUCCAGCAAUGCCGCGUGAGUGAUGAAGGCCUUAGGGUUGUAAAGCUCUUUUACCCGGGAUGAUAAUGACAGUACCGGGAGAAUAAGCCCCGGCUAACUCCGUG